CAGACACCAAAUGAAGUCGCUAUACAGCACCCAAGCGCCACUACUAACAGCAACACAGUGCUAUCCAGGGGGUGGCAACUCUACGAACAACUAUACCAUCAUUUACACCGACCAGCAUUGCGCAGUUGUGCUUAUACCACACUGAGCCCACGCUGCUGUAAACUGUAAAACUGCUUGCGAAAUGUGGGUAAGAGAAGACAGUGUGAAUUCCUGGAACAAUACUUGUGACGAUGUGUAUCGACAAGAGUGCGGAAACAGAAAAAUCACCGUCUACAAGAAGGAGCACUGCGAUUGCAUAAUCAACCACUUCGCAACGAAUACAACACACGGAACACAACUAAGCAAUAAAUGUUGAUA